GAUGAACUCUGGCGGCGUGCCUAAUACAUGCAAGUCGAGCGAACAGAUGAGGAGCUUGCUCCUCUGACGUUAGCGGCGGACGGGUGAGUAACACGUGGAUAACCUACCUAUAAGACUGGGAUAACUUCGGGAAACCGGAGCUAAUACCGGAUAAUAUAUUGAACCGCAUGGUUCAAUAGUGAAAGACGGUUUUGCUGUCACUUAUAGAUGGAUCCGCGCCGCAUUAGCUAGUUGGUAAGGUAACGGCUUACCAAGGCAACGAUGCGUAGCCGACCUGAGAGGGUGAUCGGCCACACUGGAACUGAGACACGGUCCAGACUCCUACGGGAGGCAGCAGUAGGGAAUCUUCCGCAAUGGGCGAAAGCCUGACGGAGCAACGCCGCGUGAGUGAUGAAGGUCUUCGGAUCGUAAAACUCUGUUAUUAGGGAAGAACAAAUGUGUAAGUAACUAUGCACGUCUUGACGGUACCUAAUCAGAAAGCCACGGCUAACUACGUGC
rnacentral:rRNA from 1 species